CUGCUCCGGGAGGAGCCGCCCCUUGCGUUUUUCAGCUGUGACGCGCCUGCAGAGAGGGCUACAGAGCCGGGAGCUGCGGGAGCUAAAGGUGGAGUCUUGCUAAACUGCAAGGGUUGGUCCCCAAUUCGUAAUCCUUCUGCCUCACCCUCCCAAGUAGCUGGGAUUACAGGCUUGCAUGUCUGGUCUUGCAGGGUAUUGCUAUGUACUCUGGGCUGGCCUCGAACUCUCAGUGAUCCUCCUGCCUCAGCCUCCUGCAUAUUGAGACUACAGGUGUGUACCACUAUGCCCAGUUAUGUCUUACAACAACUAAAAUCUCUGGAGAAACAUAAAAGACUGGGAAUUCUGAAAAGCCAGCAAGAGAGAUGGAUUGAGAAGGGAAGCAAAACUUGAAGUCUCUCCUGCAGGGGUGAGUUUUCCAUAUCCCCCUGCUUUAGACUCUUCUACCAUUGAUCAGAGCUGCUAUAGACAGUGCAAGGAGGAAAAACUCAAGGAACCUCGUCUUUCUAGCAGAGGACUCAGAAAAUGGGGCCCUGAAAGCAGAAUGGUGUGAGUCACGAAGAGAAGUGGCCCCUUUAUUUUUGGUUGUUGUUUUACUGUUGUUUGUAUUGUUAUUUUUGAGACAAGGUCUGGCUGUGUAGUGCAGGCUGGCCUUGAACUGGUUUAUGUAACCUAGGCUGGCCUCAACGUCACAUCGACCCUCCUGCCUCAGCCUCCCAAAUGCUGGGAUUACAGGCAUGCUGCCACCACGCCUGGUGAGGCCCCUUUAAUUGUGUGUGUAAUUCAACACAAACCUCAGGCUCACCUCUAAGAUGGGCACACGUGGGUCAGAUUCAAAACAACACAGCCGUGAUUUUGAGAACUGAACUAUGAUCUAAAACCCAGCUCAGGCACAGUGGUGCAUGCCUGUAAUCGCAGCACUCAAGAGGCUGAGGCAAGAGGAUGACAAGUUCAAACCCAGCCUGGGCAACUUAGCAAGACGUUGUUUCAAAUAAAAAUGAAAAGGGCUGGGGAUGUAGGGUUAGGGUGAAGACCCCAGGUUCUAUUCCCAGUAAUGCAAAAAUAAUAAAUAAGGACCAUUCAAACUAAUGCGUGGGUAGGCCACAUGUCAAAUAAACCCAAAGCAGCACAGGCUGCUUGGAAACUGGGCCGAAUCAGAAGAAGCAUGCCUAGACAAGAGAGAAAUACAUUGUGAGCCUAGCCAGGUUGAUUGCCUGACUUAAAAAAAUUGUAUUCACUAGAGGAUUUUGAUAGGACCCAGAGACUCACAAUGGAGUAUUCCAAAUGUUCAGCAUGCGAUUCAAAAUUACUUGGCAUGCCAGAGAAUCAAGAAAAUGUCAAUAACCCUCAAGGGAAAAGACAUUCAACAGAUGUUCAAUCUGAGAUGACACAGAUGUUGAAAUUAACAGAGACUUUAAAGCAGUUAUUGCCAUUAUGCUCUAUGAGGUAAAGGAAAACAGCCUUUAAAUAAAUUAAAAUAUAGUUCUCAGCAGAGUAAAAAGAAAUUGUAAAAAUAACCAAAUGGAAAUUUAGAGGAUAAAAAUACAACAUGUUAGGAGAGUGAAAAUCUCUGUGUGUAUUAUAAUGCUCGGUACAUGUCAUUAUGCAUCUGUCCAAAGUCACAUUAUCCACAGCUCCAAGAUCAAACCCAUAUGUUGUUUUUUGGCUUUUUGAGAGAGGGUCUCACUAUGUAGUUUAGGCUGAGCUUGAACUCUCCGUAGCCCAGGCAGGUCUUGAACUCAUGGCCAUCCUCCUGCCUCAGCUUCCCGAGUGCUGGGGUCACGGGCAUGCACACCCACACCUAGCCUAAUGUAAACUGUAGACUUGGAUUACUUAUGGCUGUCACUGUAGCCUCAUCACUUAUAACAAAUGCACCAGUGGUGGAGGCUGUUGAAAAAGUAGGAGGUCCUUUAGCACACCUGGCUUCUGGCCCUUUGUUUUUUAUUUUAUUUGAGGUCAGAGUCUCACCAAGUUGCACGGGUUGACCUCAAGCUUGUGAUCCACUUGUGUCAGCCUCCUGAGUAUAUGAGAUUACAGGUGUGCUCUCACCACUCUCUGCUUGUUCCUAAUAAUACUGCUAUGAACCAUCAGGGCAUGGUGCCUCAAGUUAUCUUUGUGGCAGGGUGGUACUCCAUUGUGUAUAAAUACCACAUUUUCUUUAUCCAUUCAUCUGUUAAUGGACAUAUAAAACUGCUUCCAAGAUCUAACUAUCAUAAAUUGUGCUGCUGUAAACAUAGGUAUGCACGUAUCACUGUAACAUGUUGACUUUCACUCUUUCAGAAAGAUAUCUAGAAGAGGACUAGCUGGAUCUAAUGGAAUUUCUACUUUUAAUUUUUUGAGAAUUUCCACACUGAUUUCAAUAGUGGUUGUUCUACUUUACAUUCCCACCAACAAGGUAGAAAGAUUGCUUUUCCCCCACAUCCUUGCCAGCAUUUACUGUUAUCUGAUUUCUUGAUGAUAGUCAUUCUUUCUAGAGUAAGAUAGCAUCUCGGUGUUUUCAAAUGCAUUUCUGGAAUGGCCAGCAAUGCCAAACAUUUUUUCAUGUAUUUAUCAGCCAAUUGUACUUCUGUGAAGUGACUAUUUGUUUUGGUUGCCCAUUUUAUGAUUAAAUCUUUGGGGGAGGGUCUAAUUUUUUUGAGCGAGUUUGCUGCACUAAUGAUACAUAAUGAUUACAUUUAUCGUGGGGAAAAGCUGGGACAACUAGCAAGGAUGUAAUCAGCAAGGCCUAAGUGUCUCCUUCAGGGGAUCCUACUGGCCAAAUAAGGGAUAAUUUGAGCAUGAGAAAUGAUGGUAGGAAGCAGAAGGAUUGCAAGUUCUAGCCCAGCCUGAGCAAUUUAGCAACUUAUCUAAACUUCAUCUCCAAAUAAAAAUAAGUAAAAAAAAAAAAAAAGACCUGGAGAUGUAGCUCACUGCAGAGGUUCUGGGUUCACUCCCCAGUACCACAAAAGAAAAGUAUUAACAAGAAAGAAAUAAGACUUGUAAUCGAUAUAAUCAAUUGAAAUAUGUAACAUAUAUAAUGUGGAGCUCACAGAGAUCAUGUCAGCACACCUCACUGUGUUAGAUUGCCAGCUCAUAACUCUGCAAACUGGGAAACACUGCCUCUUUAUAGAAGUCGUCCAGCCAAAAAAUGCAGAAAAAGUAAAAUAGAAAAAUCAACAUUCUGCCACUCCUCAGGAAGUUGUAAACUUAGGUUACAGUUAUCACUGAAUGUUAAAACCUUGAGAAAGAAAGGUAAAGGAAGAGUCUUAUCAUAAAGCAAGUACCACGCUGGAAACACCUGAACCAAACAGCCACUUUUAGCCCAUUAAAGGUGGGACAAGGGCCAGGUGUGGCAGCACAUGUCUGUGAUGCCAGCACUCAGGAGGCUGAGGCAGGAGGAUCACCGUGAGUUCAAGGCCAGCUUGAAUUACAAAGCCAGGCCUUGUCUCAAAAAAAGAGGAGGGGACAAGGAAAAGGUAUCUAUGAAAACCACAAAGCUAACAUCCCAGAUGCAGACAUGUUAAACACUUUUUCCGUAGAAUCAGAAACAAGCUUGCAGAUAUCUACUCUUGCUACUGCUAUUCAAUACUGUAGUAAAGGUUCCAGACAGGGCAAUUGGGCACAAAAAAUAAAUAAAAGGCACCUGUAUUGGAAAAAGAAGCAAAACUUUUUCUGUGUGCACACUAUGUAGUCUCAAAUACAGCAAAUCCUAAAUAAUCUACCAAAAAAUGCAUUAGAACCAAUGAACAAAUUCACCAAUGUGGUUAGAUACAAAAUCAAUAUAGGAAAAUCAGCUGUAUUUCUAUAUACUAGCAAUGAAGAAGUCAAAAUCAAGUUAAGGGGGAAAAAUCUCAUUGGUAAUAACAGUAAAAGGAAAAUAGGUAGGUUUAAAUUUAAGAAAAUAAAUGCAAUAUUUGCACACUGAAAACUACAAAACACUACUGAAAGAAGUUAACGAAAGCCAUGCAUGGUGAUCCACACUGGUAAUCUCAGCAAUAAGGGAGACUGAGGCAGAAGGAUCACAAAUUUGAGUCCCACUGGGGCAAUUUAGAAAGAUACUAGGGGCUGGGGAUUUAGCUCAGCAGCAUAAGCGCCUGCUUUGCAAGCAGGCAGUUGUGAGUUCGAUCCCCGGUACCAAUAAAAAGGAAAAAGACAAAAAAAAAAAAAGAAAGAUACUGUCUCAAAAUAAAGAAUAAAAAGGGCUGGAGAUGUCUAUCAGUGUGAAUGUCCUGGGUUUAAUCUCCAGUACUAGAAAAGAAAAAAACUAAAGAAAAUCUAAAUAAAAGAGGGAGAUAUACCAUGUUUAUGUAUGGGAAACAUUGUCAAGCGGACAGUAUGCCCCAAUUCAUUCACAGAUUCAAUGAAAUCCUUAGGAAAAUCCCAAAUUGUUUUGUUCUGAGGGAGUAGAUACACUGAUUGUAAGAUGCAUGUGAAAAUGCUAGAGGUUCAAAAUAACCCAAAACAGAACAAGAAUUGAGAACUCAUAUGCCUCAAUUUGAAAACUUACUACAAAGCUAUAGUAACUAAGAUGAUAACAUACUGCGGUCAUACAAAAGGUGUCUAGAUCAGCGGAAUAGAAUUAAAAGUUUGAAAAUAAGCCUUUAUAUUUCACAGAUUUUCAGAAGGUCUCAAACAGUCUAAUGAGGGAAACAAUAGGCUUUUCAACAAAUGGCACUGAGUCAACUGGAUAUCCAUGUGCAAAAGUAUGGAGUUGGAGCCAGGCAGUAGUGCCCGCCUGGGACCCCAGAUGCUCAGCAGGCUGAGGCAGGGAGCAAAAGUUCAAGGCCAGCUUGGCAACUUUGCAAGGCCCUCUCUUGGAAGGUGGCCUACACUGUAUCACAUUUCUUUACAAGAAAGUAAAGACAGGGCCAGGGAUUUAGCUUAGUGGCAUAAGUGCCUACCUGACAAAUGCAAGGUCAUGAGUUCAAUCCCUGGUCCAAAAAAAAAUGAAAGAAAGAGUAAAGAGUAAGAGCUCCUUCAGUAUAAAUGAUAGCAUCAAAAUCCAAAACCAGGCACAGUGGUAUACACCUGUAAUCCCAGUGCUCUGGGAGGCUGAGGCAAGAGGCUCACAAAUUGGAGCCCAGUAUAGAUAACUUAUCAAGGUCUUGUUUCAAAACAGAAAAUUUAAAAAGGGAUGAGGAUGUAGCUCAGCAUGGAGUCCUACAUUCAAUCCUUAGUACUGCGAGUGCGCGCACGCACGCGCGCGCGCGCACACACACACACACACAAAAGUAUAAAGUGGACUUACUGCUCACACAAUGCAAAAAAGCAACUCCAAAUUCAGCAUAAGCCUAAAGGUAAGAACUAAAACUAUAAAACUCUUAGAAGAAAACAUAAGAGCAAAUCAUAAUCCAAGAUUUGGCAAUGGCUUGAUUCUUAGAUAUAAUGCCAAAAGCAGAGUGACAAAAGAAAAAAUAAACUGGGUUUCAUUAAAAUUAAAAACUUUUGUGUUGCAAAUGAUUUAUCAUGUAAGAUUAGACUUCUGGACUGCAGGACUAUCAGAAUAAAUCUCUAUUGGUUAACUCACCCAGUUUGUGGUGUUGUGUACAACUGCUCUGAAAACUAAUAAUGUAUACUGAUACAUGCCACAACGUGGGUGCACCUUGCCAGUAUUGUUAAAGGAAAGACUCCAGAUGGACCAGGCCACAUACACAUGAUUCCAUCUAUACAAGGUGUAGAACAGACAAGUCCACAGAUACAACGGUAUAUCAGUGGUUGCCAGGGCCUAGGGUGUGGUUGUAAGAUCAGGAAUGACUUCCUUAUGGAUAUGGGUUUCCUGGUUUUGUUUCGUUUUAUUUGAGACAGGAUCUUGCUAUGUAGUUCAUGCUGGCCUUGAACUCACUAUGUAGCCCAGGCUGGUCUCUAACUCAUGGCAAGCCUCCUGAUUUUAACCCCUGAGUGCUGGGAUUACAGCUGUGUGCCACUACACCCUGCUAGAAUCAAUGAAUUAUUUAUCUUUGGGAUUUUUGUUUUGUUAUUUGAGACAGAGUGCCACUGUGUAGCUCAGGUUGAUCUUGAACUCACUAUGAAGUUUAGACUGGCCUUAAAACUCGUAACUCUCCUACCUCAGCCUCUCAAAUGCUGGGAUUACAGGUGUGUGCCACCAUGUCUGGACUGAAUGAUAUACUUUUUUUUCAAGUCC